rnacentral:sRNA from 1 species
UGAAUCAUCACGGCUCUCUUUUUUGCGAC